rnacentral:rRNA from 1 species
AUUGAACGCUGGCGGCAGGCCUAACACAUGCAAGUCGAGCGGCAGCGGAAAGUAGCUUGCUACUUUGCCGGCGAGCGGCGGACGGGUGAGUAAUGUCUGGGAAACUGCCUGAUGGAGGGGGAUAACUACUGGAAACGGUAGCUAAUACCGCAUAACGUCGCAAGACCAAAGAGGGGGACCUUCGGGCCUCUUGCCAUCAGAUGUGCCCAGAUGGGAUUAGCUAGUAGGUGGGGUAACGGCUCACCUAGGCGACGAUCCCUAGCUGGUCUGAGAGGAUGACCAGCCAAACUGGAACUGAGACACGGUCCAGACUCCUACGGGAGGCAGCAGUGGGGAAUAUUGCACAAUGGGCGCAAGCCUGAUGCAGCCAUGCCGCGUGUAUGAAGAAGGCCUUCGGGUUGUAAAGUACUUUCAGCGGGGAGGAAGGCGUUGAGGUUAAUAACCUCAGCGAUUGACGUUACCCGCAGAAGAAGCACCGGCUAACUCCGUGCCAGCCGCCGCCGUGG